GAAUAUUGAACCUAGAGUCAAUGAACCUAGGCUAAGAAGAUAAUGACAUUGAACCUAAUGUAUUAACUUAGGUUGAGUAAAGGCUUGGACCUAGAUAGGUCGAUAACAUAGGGUGAGACCAACCCUUGAGUUAUGUAAAGUGGAUUUCGGAAUCCCUGCUGCGAGUGCAGCGGCUGCUAGUGCAGCAUACAAGCUCGAUAGUUCUUGGCCGCUGGUGCAUGUGGCAUGUUCCUCUCCCACCGGAAGAACUUCGAGGCUUGUUAUUGAGCAAGAAUCAUGAGCGCUAGGGUGCAUGUGGCAUGUUCCUCUCCCUAUCGGGGAUCUCGGCUGCGGGUGUUUGCGGCAUGUUCCACUCCCACCGGGG
rnacentral:lncRNA from 1 species